rnacentral:rRNA from 1 species
AAAAAAGGUAAGCUACUAAGAGCGAAUGGUGGAUGCCUUGACUGGUAAAGGCGAUGAAGGACGUACUAGACUGCGAUAAGCUACGGGGAGCUGUCAAGAAGCUUUGAUCCGUAGAUUUCCGAAUGGGGCAACCCAGUAUAUAGAGAUAUAUACUACCAUAAUGGAGCGAACGAGGGGAAUUGAAACAUCUUAGUACCCUCAGGAAAAGAAAUCAAUAGAGAUUACGUCAGUAGCGGCGAGCGAAAGCGUAAGAGGGCAAACCCAGUGCUUGCACUGGGGGUUGUAGGACUGCAAUGUGCAAUAAGUAAGGUUAGUAGAACACUCUGGAAAGUGUAGCCAUAGAGGGUGAUAGUCCCGUAUACGAAAACCAAACUUUAGCUAGCAGUAUCCUGAGUAGGGCGAAACACGUGGAAUUUUGUCUGAAGCUGGGUCGACCACGAUCCAACCCUAAAUACUAAUACCAGAUCGAUAGUGCACAAGUACCGUGAGGGAAAGGUGAAAAGAACUGAGGUGAUCAGAGUGAAAUAGAACCUGAAACCAUUUGCUUACAAUCAUUCAGAGCACUAUGUAGCAAUACAGUGUGAUGGACUGCCUUUUGCAUAAUGAGCCUGCGAGUUGUGGUGUCUGGCAAGGUUAAGCACACGCGAAGCCGUAGCGAAAGCGAGUCUGAAUAGGGCGAUUAAGUCAGAUGCUGCAGACCCGAAACGAAGUGAUCUAUCCAUGAGCAAGUUGAAGCUAGUGUAAGAACUAGUGGAGGACUGAACCCGCUAGCGUUGAAAAGCUAUGGGAUGACUUGUGGAUAGGGGUGAAAGGCCAAUCAAACUUCGUGAUAGCUGGUUCUCUCCGAAAUAUAUUUAGGUAUAGCGUUGUGUCGUAGUAUAAGGGGGUAGAGCACUGAAUGGGCUAGGGCAUACACCAAUGUACCAAACCCUAUCAAACUCCGAAUACCUUAUAUGUAAUCACAGCAGUCAGGCGGCGAGUGAUAAAAUCCGUCGUCAAGAGGGAAACAACCCAGACUAUCAGCUAAGGUCCCCAAGUCUUACUUAAGUGGAAAACGAUGUGAAGUUACUUAAACAACCAGGAGGUUGGCUUAGAAGCAGCCAUCCUUUAAAGAAAGCGUAAUAGCUCACUGGUCUAGUGAUUUUGCGCGGAAAAUAUAACGGGGCUAAAGUAAGCACCGAAGCUAUAGACUUAGUUUACUAAGUGGUAGGAGAGCGUUCUAUUUGCGUCGAAGGUAUA